GCCGAACUGGCGGAAUAGGCAGACGCAGUGGAUUCAAAAUCCACCGCCCGCAAGGGCUUCCCGGUUCAAGUCCGGGGUGCGGUA
rnacentral:tRNA from 1 species